UUUUUCUUUAAUAGUUUAAACUUCUCCGCCAUUCUUAAACCUCGUGGAACAGCAGAGUACGUGAACAGCAGGGUCUUUCUUCGAACUUUUCUCUCCUUCCGUGGAGUCAUUGUUUGUAGCAUAAUCCUUGUUGACUGAUUGAUGCAUACCUAACUUGGGGAACAAGACAGUUAGGAGGAUCCGUGUGCGUGGUGGGAAUGUGAAGUGGCCAGCCUUUUGAAGCUCGAUACAGGACACUUCUCAUGGACUUGAAGAUUCUUUCUGCAACCAAGAGAGAAGGAGAGUUUCGCAGUGGAAUGUUGCUUGCAAGUAUCGCAUCAAGGGAUGACAAUGUGGUUGCGGGUUGCGAUGAUGGGUAAAAGAAGAAGAGUACUAGUGCUGCAUUAAGAACCAACGGAUUCAAAUUUGUAAUUUCCAUUUAUUAACUCCAUUGCAACCAAUGUAUUGGAACAAAGCCAAAACAAUGUUAUGUACAUUAAGAGUUUGCAUUUAUUCAGUAGAAAGUCUAGCGAAAAAGAGUCAGAUCACAUAAGGCUUCUCUUAGAAGGUAAAAUCUCCUUUGGUCUGCAAAAAAAAAAAAGUAAGAAGAUAUGUGAGCCAAGUGAAAUGUUAAAUCCUCCAUUAUCAAGAAGUUGGUCCGACCUCAGAGAAAAGAAUGUUCUUUUCGUUGAUUUGCAUAACCCCAGCUUUGAGUUUGCACUCCCACUUGUUCUUACGCUUCUUUACCUACGGUACGGUAGUAGUUGAAUAAAAUGGUAUUUAAAUUUAAGAAUUUGCAG